AGAUCGGUGCCUGAGUGGUUAAAAGGAACGGACUGUAAAUUCGUUGACGACAUGUCUUCGCUGGUUCAAAUCCAGCUCGAUCUAC
rnacentral:tRNA from 1 species